CCCCCCCCCCCCCCCCCCCCCCCCCCCCCCCCCCCCCCCCCCCCCCCCCCCCCCCCCCCCCCCCCCCCCCCCCCCCCCCCCCCCCCCCCCCCCCCCCCCCCCCCCCCCCCCCCCCCCCCCCCCCCCCCCCCCCCCCCCCCCCCCCCCCCCCCCCCCCCCCCCCCCCCCCCCCCCCCCCCCCCCCCCCCCCCCCCCCCGCCCAAACCCCACAGAACCUCCUAAGAAAUCCUACAGAGCCCAAAUCCCAUAGAGCCCAAAUCCCACAGAGCCCAAACCCCACAGAGCCUCCUGAGAGAUGCCAGAAAGCCCAAACCCCUCAGAGCCCAAACCCCACAGAACCUCCUAAGAAAUCCUACAGAGCCCAAAUCCCAUAGAGCCCAAAUCCCAGAGUCCAAAACCCACAGAGCCCAAAUCCCACAGAGCAAAUCCUACAGAGCCCAAAUCCCACAGAGCCUCCUAAGAAACCCCACAGGGCCCACACCCCACAGAGCCUCCUGAGAGAUGCCAGAGAGCCCAAACUCCACAGUGCCCAAACCCCACAGAACCUCCUAAGAAAUCCUACAGAGCCCAAAUCCCAUAGAGCCCAAAUCCCACAGAGCCCAAACCCCACAGAGCCUCCUGAGAGAUGCCAGAGAGCCCAAACCCCACAGAGCCCAAACCCCACAGAGCCCAAACCCCACAGAACCUCCUAAGAAAUCCUACAGAGCCCAAAUCCCAUAGAGCCCAAACCCCACAGAGCCCAAACCCCACAGAGCCCAAACCCCACAGAGCCCAAACCCCACAGAGCCCAAACCCCACAGAGCCCAAACCCCACAGAGCCCAAACCCCACAGAGCCCAAACCCCACAGAGCCCAAACCCCACAGAGCCCAAACCCCACAGAGCCCAAACCCCACAGAGCCCAAACCCCACAGAGCCCAAACCCCACAGAGCCCAAACCCCACAGAGCCCAAACCCCACAGAGCCCAAACCCCACAGAGCCCAAACCCCACAGAGCCCAAACCCCACAGAGCCCAAAUCCCACGUAGCUUCCUGAGAAAUUCCACAGACCCCACAGGUCCCUCCAUCCCAAACCCCACAGGCUCCCCAGUCCCAAAGGUGCUCACACCUCUGGCCAAUCCCAAACCCCUUUUGCCAACCCCAACCCCUCUGCCCAAUCCCAAAUCCCUCUAUCCAAUCCCAAACCCCUUUUGCCAAUCCCAAACCCCCCGGGCCAAUCCCACUGUCCAGAGGCCGAUUUGGGGCCCCAAUCCCCGCCCCACAGCGCUUCUCCGCAGCCGGGGCGGCUCCCGGCGCUGCGGAAUUAGGAUUUCAUUGGGGUUUGGAGCCUCUGCUCCGCCCAGCGCGGCCACCCCGACACCGGGAUGGGGAUCCCGGUGCUGCUCCCGGUUCUCCCGGUGCCCCGNGGUUUGGGGUUUGGGUUUAGGUUUAGGUUUGGGUUUAGGUGUUUUGGUGCCGGGUUUCCCUCUCAGUACACCCCAGACCACUCCGUGUUUCAGAUCACAUUUAAUGUCCUGGAACAAUCCCAAUCUCUGGGAAUGAUCCCAAUAUCUGGGAACAAUCACAACCUCUAAGAACAAUCCCAGUCUCUGGGAAGGAUCCCAAUCUCUGGGUCUUGUCCUCGGUUCAACCUUUGGAAACCUCAGGUCUGGCUUUGGAAAUGAACAAAUGCUGAAGGGGCAGCUGCCCAGAGUGUCCUGAGAAAUCCCACAGGGCCC
rnacentral:lncRNA from 1 species